GAGUCAUCUAUCAGUACCGCGUUCGAGUAAAGCUCGGUGAGUUGUGCGGAGCUCUCUGGAGGCAGCAAGGGGAAGAAAUGACAACCAGAAGGAAACCGGAGGUGGAUGCAAGGGAUGCAUCGUUGUGGAACAGAAAAUUGGUUCUCCAAACAAACUGCUCCAAGUGAGUGGAUGGAUGGGGAGAUGUCUGACAUUAACAACAUGUAACUGCUUUCUGAAAACCCUGGGAUACCUGAAAGCCUUAAGAAGGAGUGCUGCUGCAGUUGCAAAGCGAUAGAAUGAAGUCAAUACCCAAAAUGAUGCUGCAGCCACAUCUGGAGUUUGCUUCAGGUGGAGUGCUUUAUCUCUCUGAAAGGGAACGUCGCACAUCUCGGGGUCGUCUUAAAGAGAAACAGAAGAUGCAGAGGAGUACAUCCGAGAAAAGCACUUUAUUCCCUCAGCACAGAUUGACUCCCCAGGUCCCACCUGGAGCAGAACUUUCCCUGCAGUUCCCCCAGCACAGCUCUGGUACAUCCGUGCAGGAUUGGACUUACUGAGGGGUUUGCCUUCAUUUCUCCUUCUGCCCACUUUGGGGUGCCCGCAUUACCUGCAGCCACACGUCCUGCAUUGCUGCCUUGCCUCUGUUGUACCGCAUUCUGCUGAAAAAUACAUAGAAUGAAAAUGAUUUCCCACUUGUAAGGGCAGAAUAAAUAGAAAUACUUGCAGAUAAUGAUGCAGUUUUUUCCUCAGUGUCACCGAAAAACUUAACUCGGUUUUGUUUUCUCAAUCAUCCCUCUGUGUUUGCACUUCUCUGUUAAACAGCAACUGAGAACAAACCGAGAAUAAAAGUGGAGAGCGUUUUUAUUACAAAGGAUUUCACCUUUCUGUCAUUUUUGUACUAAAACAGAUCUGAAACUGCCAUCCACCUCUUCAGUUCAAUUUUUGUUUCACUGCAUUGGAGAAACUUUUAUAUAGAAAAACAAGAGAUGGAUAACCUUUAUUUCUCUGCAUUUUCUGUGUGUCCUCUCCUAAAUGAGACCAAUCUACGCAUGGAAUGGGGAAUUACUUGUGGUCAGAAAUAAACAGCAAUGGCA
rnacentral:lncRNA from 1 species